rnacentral:tmRNA from 1 species
UUACGCUCUAGCUGCAUAAUUAGCUGAAUUAUAGUACGUUAAUGCCAAGUCCCGGCUAGGCCGGGAAGCUGGAUGUCUCAGGAUAGCCCUUGUUGACGGCGAUCUGUUUUGAGGCACCAUAAAAGUCAACAUCGAAACACAAGGGUGUCGCUUGUGUUUUUCAACCUUAGACACUAUGCUCAGCUGUAGGCGGUUUUUGGUCAGCACUGGGACGAAAAUCAAACAAAAACUAAACUUGUAGAAAGCUCCUUUAAAGCUUGUUUGGACGCGGGUUCGAUUCCCGCCGACUCCACAA